GAUGAACGCUAGCGGCAGGCUUAAUACAUGCAAGUCGAGGGGCAGCAGGGAUAGCAAUAUUCGCUGGCGACCGGCGCACGGGUGCGUAACACGUAUACAAUCUGCCUUUUACAGGGGGAGUAGCCUUUCGUAAAGAGAGAUUAAUACCCCACUAAUAGUUGACCGGGCAUCUGGUUGAUUUGAAAGCUCCGGCGGUAAGAGAUGAGUAUGCGCCUGAUUAGCUAGUAGGUGAGGUAACGGCUCACCUAGGCUACGAUCAGUAGGGGAUCUGAGAGGACUAACCCCCACACGGAUACUGAGACACGGAUCCGACUCCUACGGGAGGCAGCAGUAAGGAAUAUUGGACAAUGCCCGCAAGGGUGGAUCCAGCCAUGCCGCGUGCAGGAAGAAGGCCCUAUGGGUCGUAAACUGCUUUUACUACCGGAGAAAACCUCCCCUCGUGAGGGGAGCUGAUAGUAUGGUGAGAAUAAGCAUCGGC
rnacentral:rRNA from 1 species